AUUGAACGCUGGCGGCAGGCCUAACACAUGCAAGUCGAGCGGAUGAAGGGAGCUUGCUCCUGGAUUCAGCUGCGGACGGGUGAGUAAUGCCUAGGAAUCUGCCUUGUAUUUGGGGAUAACGUCCGGACACGGGCGCUAAUACCGCAUACGUCCUGAGGGAGAAAGUGGGGGAUCUUCGGACCUCACGCUAUCAGAUGAGCCUAGGUCGGAUUAGCUAGUUGGUGGGGUAAAGGCCUACCAAGGCGACGAUCCGUAACUGGUCUGAGAGGAUGAUCAGUCACACUGGAACUGAGACACGGUCCAGACUCCUACGGGAGGCAGCAGUGGGGAAUAUUGGACCAUGGGCGAAAGCCUGAUCCAGCCAUGCCGCGUGUGGGAAGAAGGUCUUCGGAUUGUAAAGCACUUUAAGUUGGGAGGAAGGGCAGUAAGUUAAUACCUUGCUGUUUUGACGUUACCCAAAGAAUAAGCCCCGGCUAACUUCGUG
rnacentral:rRNA from 1 species